rnacentral:rRNA from 1 species
GCUUACAUCCAUACCACCCUGUCUGCGUCUGAUCUCGGAAACUAAGCAGGGUCGGGGCUGGUUAGUACUUGGAUGGGAGACCGACUGGGAAUACCAGGUGCUCUAAGCU